AUUUUGGAAAGCGUGCGAGUUAAAUGACACAAGUAAUGGUAACGAGGUUAUCCCCCAAGCUUAUAGGUGGUUAGAGUGAGUGCAGAUGUAUCAUAAGGAUUAGAAGUUAAACAAAUCGAAGAAAAUAAGUUUUGUCAAGGUUCGAAAUUUAUCUGAAUGAAAUACGGUCCAAGCCAUAACAUCCCGUAUUUUUGGACCAGGAAAUUGAACCGUCCAACAUGAGCAAUUUUAUCGAGGCCGUAGGAUUUGGUCAUAUUCAAGCAUAAAAAUCAAGAACUCGGUGUAUACGAGGAAUAAAGUCCCGAAAUGAUUUUAGACAAAAAAAUGUGACAGCAAUGAUUGAAAAUAAUAUUUUUAUGUGUGGCAAAUGAGCUGUGGACUAAUGCUAUAUUACAUGAGUAUAAUAAUGAGUAUACAAGGACUGUUUAAGUGGAUUGAGAUCAAGAAAUUAAAUAUGUGUGUAAUUAUUUAAAUGAAAAAUUAUAGUGAAAUAGAUAAAUUAAUUAAAAUUGUUGGAUAAUAUUUUUGGACAUAAUCCACAUGGGUAGUGAUGAGUGGCAUUCAAAAGUUGUGGAUAUGCACGCAUAAGGUGUAGGUGAAUCAUCUCUUAAUUAUCCUAUAAGAGCUACACGUGUAAGUGAAGGUGUCAUCCUAUAUCUAAAGCCUAUGAUUUCAAUUCUUGACUUUCCAUAGAUGAAAAGUACACAGCAACUUUUCUACAUUCUUGUUGAUGUUUUCCAAAAGAGAUAAGUAAGCAGCAUAUAUAUUUGUAGCAACUAAAACGUGAAACUAUAUUUCAUAGCAGUACGUAUCGCAACGAAGUAUUUCCAUUGUUGGAAAAAUGAAGAAAUUAACGUGACAAAAAUAAUGAGCAGCAAGUCAUUAGCGAGCAGCAACAAUACACACACAUAUAUGUUUCUAAUCGCCGGUAACGUGAUUCUAACAUCGUGUUCCUUCGGAUUCUAGCAAAUCGGAGAUUUCUUCAAAGUGAAGUAGUGUGAAAGAAGAGUAGUUCUUGACAUACAAGAUAUUGGACAAUCCGAGACUUGAGUCGGGAUUUGUCUAGCGAGUGAUCGGGAUUUGUUAGCGAGCGAUUGAGGUACAGACGCCGGUGACCCACCACUGUAGGCUCCACGUCCUACUAUUACAGAGUGCUCCUUUUGAUUCGGAGCCCAUAUGUCGGUAUAUAUCUUUUGUGAUGUAUAUGCAUAUGUAUAUUUGACUAUUUAGGGUACGGCGGGGCCCUGUCCCGUCAUAUGUCUUCGUUUUGUAUUUGUAGAGGCCUGUAGUCAUAUAUGUGGGUCGAGGGUCCUAUAUGUGUCUGCUUUGUUUACGAUUUGUGUCUUAAUGCGGUCCGUCUGUUAUGGUGGCCAAAAUGGCCCAUAUGUUUGUAUCUGUACAUAUGACCGGCGAUGUGCAUUCCGCUGCUCCUUCUGUUUUGAUAUGAUAUUUUGGUAUGCGCGACCGCUUAAGACAAGCUUUGAUUUGAAAUAUGUAUAAAAUAACUAUCAUGAAAUCUGAGUUAAGCUUUGAUAUGACGAUUUGGCUAAUAUGUCCGUUUGGGGUGUCCAAGUAGGGCGCCAGUCGCGGCCCACGGGGCUGGGUCGUGACAAAAGUGGUAUCAGAGCGGUUUGUCCUCGGAAUGUCUACAGGCCGUGUCUCGUAGAGUCUUGUUUAUCGGUGUGUUGUGCACCACAUCUAUAAACUGGAGGCUACAGGGCAUUUAGGGUGUUACUUUUCUUUGGAUCUUAGAUCGUGCAAUAGAGCCAGCUGUAGGAAAUGAAUUCCUUUUCUUUCUAACCCUUGAUUGCAGCUGGAGAGCGGUAUCGACGUAAGACAACGACUGCUGACAUUGGAAGAUACACAGUACUCAGGUAAGUGAUGGUAUGAAAGACGUAUGCUGGGUAAGGUAUCCUGAAGUACGAUUAGAACAUAAAGUCGAACAUUGAAAAGAGAAAUGAACAUGAAAAGUGUAGCAGGUGCAGUUGAGUUGGGCAUGUGAGGUAAGCCUCGACAUCUGUAUACUUCUAUCUGUAAUUGUUAGCCCUGUGUGGCUAUGAUACGAUAUGAUAUAUACGUAUAUAUGUUGGCCCUGUGAGACAUUGUCGGUAUUUCCUGCGUGCAGGUUUUGGGAUAAUAAGAAGUACAGAGGAAACUCUGCCCAAAUUUUCCCAGAAAUAGAAAAAAAAAAAGAGAUAUAAGUUCAUAAUAUGUCUUGAAAGUCGAUACCGAUAGGGUAAAUUUAUUAUGUCUGAUUAAAGCUUUAAGAGAUACCCUCCAUGUCAUCCGUGAGAGGCACCAUUCUUAUUUGGGAAAUUUUAUUUCGAAGAAGCAUAUAUGAGCAGCAAAGUUUGGAAUCCAUUUGAACGGACCUGAAUACUUUCCAGCCACAUUUUUACCUUAGAAAAGCUCAUACUGAAGGGCAAAAAUGUCUAGCAAUUAAGUUUCUCUUUUAUUGAAAAGUAUAAAGCAUACAGCAAGUAGUUUAUGAACUAAUGAUUCAUUCACGACUCAAGAAUAAAUCUGGAGGCAACCCAUGUGAAUCAAGCAUUAGAAGUCCCGUGGUGCUGGUCGAAUUCUAGUUUUUCUUCUGCUGGUGGUUGAAGGAUGCUUCAUAGUAAUAUUUUAUUGGUUCUUAAUUAACUAAUUGGAGAUAGAAUCUGUGGAAGGUAACUUAAACUUGUGGGCUGUCUAGGAUCAUGUAUUUUAUAUGUUGUUGGUGAAAUGCUAGGAUGAUUUGGAAGGGCUUGUGAUACUAAGGGAUGAUUUAGAAAAAGGUGGCAACUCGUAACAGAACAUUUUAUUGAGGUAUCGAGUGAACUGACAAGUAGGGAUAAAUUGUGAUGAGUUUACAGUUAAAAGGAGUAGUAGUAUGAUUGAGAUAAAAAUACGGAGGAGAAAGAGUUAUGACAAAUUACGAAAGUAAUGAUAAGACAACUUGUGAGAUGCUAAGGGUAAGACCGAUCAGAAAGGGUGAAGGGUUAAGUACGUCUAGUCCAUAGAGUGUAAUUAAAGCAUAGUAAGAGUCGUGAAUAAGAUUAAGAAGUGUUACGUUAUGGGAUGGCUUACGAACAGGAUGUAAUGUAAAUACCAUAAGGAUUGCCACAAGAAUGGGUAAAGCCUUGCAAGGAAGUAACUAAAGGAGAUGAUGUAAUUAGUGUGAAACGGAAAAGCAAAUGUAGAACGAAUAAGGAAGACCUACCAAGUCCUAUAGGAAAAGUUCAGAAUAGAGAUCAAGUGGUAACGAAAGUGGAAGCGCGCACAGGAAGAGAAGAAGUAAUUGAAAGAAGAAGAUAGAAAGAAAGCGAGUGGGAUUACAGUGUAGCUUGGAAAACGAGUAAUACAAGUGACAGAGCUGUGAAAGACCAACCUAUAGGAAGAUGAGCAACGAGACAGAAUGAAUGCCAGAAAUGACUGGUAUAAUAAGAACAAAUAGGGGAGAACAGAAUAUGUUUCGAAAAUGAGAAAGGGGAUUAUGUAAAAGUAGUGUUUUCCGAAGGAUACAGGAGUAGCAUGAGAUUCUUCGUGCACAGAAUAAAAGAUAGGCACACAUUGGAGAAAUGAAAGGAAUACUAAAGGAAGCACUCAAGACAAACGUAACUAAUUGAGUAUGAGUAUAGGACAAAAGGGAAAUAUAUAGUUAUGAACUUAAGAUGUAGUACGAUGAGAAGGUGAUAAGACAAGACCAUUAUUAAGACGAAUUUGAUAUGAUUUUGAGUAAGUUAGAAAUUACCGUUGGGUAUACAACAAGGAUGAAAAGCUGGAGACACUUAUUAUUAGAAUAUAAGUGCGACUGAAUGGAGAAUUUUAGACGAUGAUAAGCACCACCUAACUAUUGAUUGGGAUGAAUAGAAUGUGGCUUCGGACAAAUUGCUACAUUAAUUAUAUUACUCGAGUACCAACCAUCAGAUAAGAUUUUGUACUAUACAUCGAGAGUUCUCAUCGCCUCGUGAUUGUGCUGGAGUUUUAUACAUGGGUAACAUGAGUUGUAGAUGAUAUAAAGGAAGACAUGGAUAUGGUGUAGUAUACCAAAUGUAGUGGAUAGGAAUUAUAUGGAUUUGAAAAUUCGAAAAGGAGACAUAGAGAAGAAUAUAAAUAAAUAAUGAUAUGGGUACACCCAAAAGGGGGGAAGCGGAUGAGAGAAAUGAAAGUGUAGGAUGAAAACAACUGAUACUGCAAUACAUUUAAUGUGAAAACUUAAACUUUAAGUGAGAUCCCUUGUUGAAACAAGUUAGUAAGAUUUGAAAGCCAGAAAUAAACGGAUAUAAGCCAAGAUGGUAUUUGAGACAGUGCUGAGAAUUAUUGGUAAAAGAUUUUGGAUAAUAUGACAUCAGAAGGUGGAUGCUUAUAACAAGGAAGAAUAUGACAAGAGAAUGGUAAUGAGUAACUUAAAAGAUGGGAUAUCUACGCUAUACUGGUUUAAAGGCUAAAAUAUUGGCAACAGAGUUGUUCGCUAAUGGUAUCGCGACACAUAAGUAGCAAAGGAGAAAGGAUAGGAAAUCUCUCCUAUAGUAGGAUAUGAGAAAACCAAAUGGUGAAUAGUGAAAGGGAAAAGAGUAUUACAAGAAGGCUACAAACGAGUUUUAGUACGGAUAUGUACAGCAGAAUGGACCAGGAAAAGGGUAGACUCUGACUAAAGAUUAGAAACACUUUAUACAAGUGGUACAAGAAUAGUUAUGCAACCUACGAAUAUUUGUAUACUAAGAAUGAAACCGAGUGGGUACUUGAUAAGAAGAGUAAGAAUUCAGUAACAAUAAUGUGGCUGCGAUAUUUUGGAUACAUUAGGGAAAGGUGUAAGGUGGUUUGAGCCAAAUUACAGAGAUAGAAUUGGUACUGAGGGCAAAUAGGACAUGACCAUGGUUGAGCCUUAAUAUCAAUUGAAAGAUAUAAGAGAAGAAUAUAGGUUCUGCAUAAAGACUAGCGAGGCAACACUAAGAUAUUUCGUGGGCUAAUUCGAGCCCCUACACCUGCUCGUGUACAGAUUGCAGUAAGAUGCGUGGUAGGAAAGCUAAGAGAAAAUUUGAGAAAAAGGGGAAAUGGAAGAGUUUGAAUCAGAAUUAGAGAAACGACACGAGAUAAUAUGCCUAAAGAAUUGCCAGUUAGAGUAAGGGAAAUUACGAAAUGAUUUAACCGAGACAAUCAGAACAAGCGAGUUACUGGUUACUGGAUGACAGUAAAGUUAUAUUAUGAGGAGACCCUAGCACUAUUUGAUAGCCAACCCUAAGGAUCGAGAUCAAGAGAUAAAAGCAAGUGAUAGUUAAAGACCUUUAAAAGAAAGUCAGAAAGUGACACAUGAUGCUGAGGAUUCCAGAAUACGGACUGUAACAGCGGAGUAAAGUAAGGAUAUAGGAAUACAAAAAUGUUACCCUCUGGGAAAUUUCAUUUUUCUUGUAGGACCUGCGAAGGGUUUACAGGUUACCAGAGGCAUGCAAUACUCCAGGGAUAUUAAAGUCUAAUGAACUGACGAGGGACGUCUGCGCGUUAUAAAAAUUGUAUUUAAAAAUUGAGAGGUAAGACAACAACGUGGAAUUAUUACAUCGAGAAGCAACCGAAAGAGGAAAUAUUAUGGGAAUGGCUACUUAGAGACCUGGAAUACGUUAUAGUGGAUUAAAGGGAAUUGACCAAUGAAACAAGCAUGUCAAGGGCAUAAUUAAAUAAGAGAACACUUGAGAAAGUAUUGGGAAUUUAGGACCAGUUUAACAUUCGAGGACGAAUGUUCUAAAGGGGGGAAGGAUGUUACAUCCCGUGUUUUCAUUUUGGAAAGCGUGCGAGUUAAAUGACACAAGUAAUGGUAACGAGGUUAUCCCCCAAGCUUAUAGGUGGUUAGAGUGAGUGCAGAUGUAUCAUAAGGAUUAGAAGUUAAACAAAUCGAAGAAAAUAAGUUUUGUCAAGGUUCGAAAUUUAUCUGAAUGAAAUACGGUCCAAGCCAUAACAUCCCGUAUUUUUGGACCAGGAAAUUGAACCGUCCAACAUGAGCAAUUUUAUCGAGGCCGUAGGAUUUGGUCAUAUUCAAGCAUAAAAAUCAAGAACUCGGUGUAUACGAGGAAUAAAGUCCCGAAAUGAUUUUAGACAAAAAAAUGUGACAGCAAUGAUUGAAAAUAAUAUUUUUAUGUGUGGCAAAUGAGCUGUGGACUAAUGCUAUAUUACAUGAGUAUAAUAAUGAGUAUACAAGGACUGUUUAAGUGGAUUGAGAUCAAGAAAUUAAAUAUGUGUGUAAUUAUUUAAAUGAAAAAUUAUAGUGAAAUAGAUAAAUUAAUUAAAAUUGUUGGAUAAUAUUUUUGGACAUAAUCCACAUGGGUAGUGAUGAGUGGCAUUCAAAAGUUGUGGAUAUGCACGCAUAAGGUGUAGGUGAAUCAUCUCUUAAUUAUCCUAUAAGAGCUACACGUGUAAGUGAAGGUGUCAUCCUAUAUCUAAAGCCUAUGAUUUCAAUUCUUGACUUUCCAUAGAUGAAAAGUACACAGCAACUUUUCUACAUUCUUGUUGAUGUUUUCCAAAAGAGAUAAGUAAGCAGCAUAUAUAUUUGUAGCAACUAAAACGUGAAACUAUAUUUCAUAGCAGUACGUAUCGCAACGAAGUAUUUCCAUUGUUGGAAAAAUGAAGAAAUUAACGUGACAAAAAUAAUGAGCAGCAAGUCAUUAGCGAGCAGCAACAAUACACACACAUAUAUGUUUCUAAUCGCCGGUAACGUGAUUCUAACAUCGUGUUCCUUCGGAUUCUAGCAAAUCGGAGAUUUCUUCAAAGUGAAGUAGUGUGAAAGAAGAGUAGUUCUUGACAUACAAGAUAUUGGACAAUCCGAGACUUGAGUCGGGAUUUGUCUAGCGAGUGAUUGAGGUAUGUAAGGCUACCCUAUUCCUUCUGUUGGCAUGUCCUAGGUAUACUAGGUUGAUAUUUGAGCCCCGGGGGCAAUUCUGUUCCUUGAAACCCGAAUUGGAAAUCGAGUACUAUUCAUUCAAUCUAAUUGAACUAUAAAACACUUGUUUUGUUGGAAGAGUGAUUAUAUGUCCGAAACUUUUGCAAAUGUAAUCGAAUCGCUUCGAAACUUCCAUGUAUGGUUCCAUAGACCUCAAAUGUCCGUAAUUCAUGUCCGCCACCUCGACUUGACCCGAGGUGGGCCCGCUAACUCCGAGAUUCUUUCGUUUGCUCUAUAAGGCUCAUUUUUGUGUAAUGUCGGCAAAAAGGGCUUUUGCUUAUGAAUUUGGCUACCGUAAAAUAAUGUUUUGAUUGCCACGAUAUUCUAAAUUAUAUUUUGAAUCAUAAUUACCAUUUUGGAAAUACUUUUGUGAAAUGAACCCCGUUUUGGUUAAUUGUUCGAACUAUUUUGACUAAUGAGUCAACAUGUGAUUUUAUCAAGUUUGCAAAAGUACUUUGAUAUAUAAAUUGCAUUGUUUUCUCACGACUCCGCUCGUGCCCUUAUUAUGAUUUCGUUCACCGGUUCCCGGGCCGGUUAUGGUUCGUGCGCGCUAUGAUAAAUUCGGCCGUAUGCUGUGUUACGGUUCCCGAGACCUCGCCAUAGGGCCGGGUUCCGUUUGGAGUUAUGCUGUGAUAUGGCUGGCGAUAUGCUAUGAUGAUAUGUGUGUUCGGGGAUGUACGGAGAUUUGAACCUUCUGGUGUUAUGCUGUGUGUGGCACCAGCGUCGGAGUGGUGACCACGUUCCUGAGCUUUGCAUGAUUUUAUCUGCAUUAUGUAUACAUAUGUUUUGGUACAAAUUUUGAUAUACUGGUCAGUAUUCCCUUUUUGUAUCUGGUUGUUUUCAGUUAUGGUUUACAUUUCUGUACUCUAUGCUUUACAUACUCAGUACAUUUUUCGUACUGACCCCCUUUCUUCGGGGGGCUGCGUUUCAUGCCCGCAGGUACAGACGCCGGUGACCCACCACUGUAGGCUCCACGUCCUACUAUUACAGAGUGCUCCUUUUGAUUCGGAGCCCAUAUGUCGGUAUAUAUCUUUUGUGAUGUAUAUGCAUAUGUAUAUUUGACUAUUUAGGGUACGGCGGGGCCCUGUCCCGUCAUAUGUCUUCGUUUUGUAUUUGUAGAGGCCUGUAGUCAUAUAUGUGGGUCGAGGGUCCUAUAUGUGUCUGCUUUGUUUACGAUUUGUGUCUUAAUGCGGUCCGUCUGUUAUGGUGGCCAAAAUGGCCCAUAUGUUUGUAUCUGUACAUAUGACCGGCGAUGUGCAUUCCGCUGCUCCUUCUGUUUUGAUAUGAUAUUUUGGUAUGCGCGACCGCUUAAGACAAGCUUUGAUUUGAAAUAUGUAUAAAAUAACUAUCAUGAAAUCUGAGUUAAGCUUUGAUAUGACGAUUUGGCUAAUAUGUCCGUUUGGGGUGUCCAAGUAGGGCGCCAGUCGCGGCCCACGGGGCUGGGUCGUGACAGUGGGAUCGCUGUGCUGUUUGGGUUAUGAACCAAUAUGGUGAACUGGAGUCAUGGACUAAGAAAUUUGUAGUAGUUCUGGAGGGAGGUAUUUCACAUGUUAUUGGGUUCACGGGAAAUGGGGAAUCUCUAGUGAUGGAUUAUAAUGGAGAUCUUUUAUCAUAUAAUCCAGAGAGCAUGGAAUGGAAGGAUCUUGAUAUCCAUGGUGCGUUUUUUUCAUUCUUUUUGAGCAAAUAUGCUGAGAGUUUAGUGUUGCUUGAUGGAAGCAGUGGGGCUACAGUUGAUCCAUCUGAUGCUGAAGUUGUAUGCUGAAGAGGCAGCUGAGACAAUGUUAUAGAAUUGGGAUACACUUGGGAUUAGAGGAUGCACCAAUUGGGGAUUAGAGGAUGCACCAAUUGGGAGAGGAAAAUAUAGUUAGUUGAAAAGAAGUUUGUUGUGCUGUUAGCUGGACCUUGUUCUUUGUAGUGUCAAAUGCCAAUAAUGACCAGGAGGCAUCUAUGAAAAUUUUUGCCCAACUCUUUCUCAUUUAGCUAUCCAAAUUUUCUUUGAUGUUGUUGUUGGAGUCUAUUUUCAGAAGAAAUCAGUCUUUUCUAUUAGCAGCCUUAUGCUUUGAUGUCCAAUGUGCUGUAUUUAUGAAAGCUUACUGUGCUGUAAAAUUUGUGAGUAUUUAACUGUUUUAUCAACUUAUAGUAGCAUUAUAGAAUGACCAUGUCAUCCUGGCCAUGUUAACAUAUGUUAGUUUGCUGGUAGUGAUUGUAAUCACUUUCAGUAUGCACUUCAUUGCAAUUCUGGAACUGUUCAUUAUUCUGUUCCAUUCUGCCUUUUCAAGUAUUGCUUUGAUGCAAAGUUACUUCUAGCUUAUCAUAUUCUAAGUAUGAGAUCCUUUUACUAUCCAGAAAUUUCUUUCCUGAUGCCAUUUUGGCACUUGUUUCGAAACCAUAUUAGGAAUAAAGCCAUCAAAUUGUUUCCAGAUUCCAAGACAAAUUGCCAUUCAAUUUUAGGUGCCGCAUAUGCACAUCAACUUUGAACAUAGGCCAUCUUCACAGCCUUUGGUAUCUUUGCUUUUCAUAUCAAAGACAAAACCAAACACAAACGAAUAUGUCCCUGUGCGAUCAAGAUUAACGGAAUGCUUUGGGAGGCAGAGGCAUCUGUUAAUUUCAGGGUGCCAUAAUACUAAAACAUGUGCAUAUCCAAAUAAGUUAUCAGACAAAAAGUAUAUGUCAGUGUCAACACCGGAUGAUGCAUUACUAACAGGACAGAAUAGGAGAAGAGAUCUUGGUGGGAGCCUUGAGAGAAUUUGUUCCAUAUUUGGACCAUCAAAAUGUGAUUUAUGAUUUCACAAUUUUAACAUAUAAAAACUUAUUGCGUAAUCAAAAUUCUUCACAAAAUAUUCAUCAACCAUGAGAGAUUUUGACAUAGCGAUUUUGAAACUUAGUGAGACCAUGCAAAUUAGUAGAAAACACCUUAAUGAAAUAACAAAUUUUCUAUUUCUCUGUAUGUUUGCAUCGGGGUAGUAUAUGCACACAGAACCGUAUCUUUGUGAUUAAAUUCAAUGUAUCUUUGUCAAAUAUGUUUUGUGUUGAAAGAUCCAGUCUUACCGAGAAAUAGAAGUUACUUGUUACACUGACAUUUCCCUAUAUCCAUAUUUAGACAUUUUAUGUCAAGGCGAAUUCCAGUUUAACAACAUCUGCACCUCUUGGACUGUGAGGGUUAAACUUGAAAGGGGUGCUUCCCUCUUUGGUUGAAGAAUUUAAUGAGCAGUUCAUGGCUACGGUCAAAUUUAUAUGAAGCUUCAAGCUGGAUUUACCAUCUCUGAACCACGGGAAGCAUGUCUGAGGAUGCUCUUGGUGUAGACUUUUCUCGAUAUUUUGGUGGUUAUGUCAAAGCCAUGUGGACUUUCCCCGAGCAUGGGACAAAUGCUGAAGUAACGUAGCUGCCUGUUACAUGCAAACAGAAACGCUACGGACAUGGGCGGAAAAUCAGAAGCAACGUCAUGUUGCACAAAAUGGCUUCCAAUCAAUAUUCAGUUUCUCAGGCGAUCUAUGUCGCUGAAUCCUCCCUCGGUUAGUCUCAUCAAUGUUGUAGUAGCUGGAUCUUUGAUGCUUCCACGUAAGUGUUUGGUGUAUAAUUGACUGAGCUAUUCUGUUUGCAUCUUGAUGAUGUGAACUGAAAGUUCACUGAUAUGUGCACAACUUGUGUUACCUGGAUUAAUGGAUUGCUUAUAAAGAGUCUCCAGAAAAUUAGUGAUCUUCUCUAUCCUGCUUUGCUGAUGUGCAUUUUCAUUAGAUCUGCUGGAGGCCUUGCACAGAGAAGUUUGACCUACUUAGUUUUUUCAGUGUUGCAUUAUGCUUGACAAGAAAUCGUUGAAACCGGAAAAAUGUCCUUUCUUCAAUUAGCUCUGUGAGAGAAAGAGAGGAAGCACAACAUGGUGGGAGGAAAACAACACCUUCUUGUCACCUACUGACAUGUCUUCAUAAUAAACUUACUAGCCCAUAAUUUCUUCUUGCUAUUAUUGAAAUGCUAUCAAAGGAAAGUUAUCUUCGUUAUUAAAACUCAAAUCUCUCCUGAUAGGUAAGGUGUGG